rnacentral:rRNA from 1 species
UAUAACGGCUUGCGGCGUGCAUACAUGCAAGUCGAGCGGACAGAAGGGAGCUUGCUCCCGGAUGUUAGCGGCGGACGGGUGAGUAACACGUGGGUAACCUGCCUGUAAGACUGGGAUAAUCCGGGAAACCGGAGCUAAUACCGGAUAGUUCCUUGAACCGCAUGGUUCAAGGAUGAAAGACGGUUUCGGCUGUCACUUACAGAUGGACCCGCGGCGCAUUAGCUAGUUGGUGGGGUAAUGGCUCACCAAGGCGACGAUGCGUAGCCGACCUGAGAGGGUGAUCGGCCACACUGGGACUGAGACACGGCCCAGACUCCUACGGGAGGCAGCAGUAGGGAAUCUUCCGCAAUGGACGAAAGUCUGACGGAGCAACGCCGCGUGAGUGAUGAAGGUUUUCGGAUCGUAAAGCUCUGUUGUUAGGGAAGAACAAGUGCGAGAGUAACUGCUCGCACCUUGACGGUACCUAACCAGAAAGCCAGGCUAACUACGUGCCAGCAGCCGCGGUAAUACGUAGGUGGCAAGCGUUGUCCGGAAUUAUUGGGCGUAAAGGGCUCGCAGGCGGUUUCUUAAGUCUGAUGUGAAAGCCCCCGGCUCAACCGGGGAGGGUCAUUGGAAACUGGGAAACUUGAGUGCAGAAGAGGAGAGUGGAAUUCCACGUGUAGCGGUGAAAUGCGUAGAGAUGUGGAGGAACACCAGUGGCGAAGGCGACUCUCUGGUCUGUAACUGACGCUGAGGAGCGAAAGCGUGGGGAGCGAACAGGAUUAGAUACCCUGGUAGUCCACGCCGUAAACGAUGAGUGCUAAGUGUUAGGGGGUUUCCGCCCCUUAGUGCUGCAGCUAACGCAUUAAGCACUCCGCCUGGGGAGUACGGUCGCAAGACUGAAACUCAAAGGAAUUGACGGGGGCCCGCACAAGCGGUGGAGCAUGUGGUUUAAUUCGAAGCAACGCGAAGAACCUUACCAGGUCUUGACAUCCUCUGACAACCCUAGAGAUAGGGCUUUCCCUUCGGGGACAGAGUGACAGGUGGUGCAUGGUUGUCGUCAGCUCGUGUCGUGAGAUGUUGGGUUAAGUCCCGCAACGAGCGCAACCCUUGAUCUUAGUUGCCAGCAUUCAGUUGGGCACUCUAAGGUGACUGCCGGUGACAAACCGGAGGAAGGUGGGGAUGACGUCAAAUCAUCAUGCCCCUUAUGACCUGGGCUACACACGUGCUACAAUGGACAGAACAAAGGGCUGCAAGACCGCAAGGUUUAGCCAAUCCCAUAAAUCUGUUCUCAGUUCGGAUCGCAGUCUGCAACUCGACUGCGUGAAGCUGGAAUCGCUAGUAAUCGCGGAUCAGCAUGCCGCGGUGAUACGUUCCCGGGCCUUGUACACACCGCCCGUCACACCACGAGAGUUUGCAACACCCGAAGUCGGUGAGUACCUUUAUGAGCCAGCCGCCGAAGUGCCAGU